rnacentral:rRNA from 1 species
UACGAAGGGGGCUAGCGUUGUUCGGAAUUACUGGGCGUAAAGCGCGCGUAGGCGGUUUUCCAAGUCGGGCGUGAAAGCCCCGGGCUCAACCCGGGAAAUGCGCUCGAAACUUGAAGACUGGAGGCCGGAAGAGGGUAGUGGAAUUCCCAGUGUAGAGGUGAAAUUCGUAGAUAUUGGGAAGAACACCAGUGGCGAAGGCGGCUACCUAGUCCGGAUCUGACGCUGAGGCGCGAAAGCGUGGGGAGCAAACAGG